rnacentral:rRNA from 1 species
CCUACGGGUGGCAGCAGUGGGGAAUAUUGGACAAUGGGGGAAACCCUGAUCCAGCGACGCCGCGUGUGUGAAGAAGUCUUUCGGUACGUAAAGCUCUAUCAGCAGGAAAGAAAAUGACGGUACCUGUCUAAUAAGCCCCGGCUAACUACGUCCCAGCAGCCGCGGUAAUACGUAGGGCGCACGCGUUAUCCGGAUUUACUGGGUGUAAAGGGAGCGUAGACGGCAGCGCAAGUCUGGAGUGAAAUGCCGGGGCCCAACCCCGGAACUGCUCUGGAAACUGGGAGGCUGGAGUGCAGGAGAGGUGAGAGGAAUGCCAGGUGUAGCGGUGAAAUGCGUAGAGAUCAGGAGGAACACCGGCGGCGAAGGCGGCUUACUGGAC